rnacentral:rRNA from 1 species
UUAGCUAGUUGGUGGGGUAAAGGCCUACCAAGGCGACGAUCGGUAGCUGUUCUGAGAGGAAGAUCAGCCACACUGGGACUGAGACACGGCCCAGACUCCUACGGGAGGCAGCAGUGGGGAAUAUUGGACAAUGGGGGCAACCCUGAUCCAGCGAUGCCGCGUGUGUGAAGAAGGCCUGAGGGUUGUAAAGCACUUUCAGUAGGGAGGAGAAGUAAGCUAUUAAUACCAGCUUACUGAGACGUUACCUACAGAAGAAGCACCGGCUAACUCUGUGCCAGCAGCCGCGGUAAUACAGAGGGUGCGAGCGUUAAUCGGAAUUACUGGGCGUAAAGAGCACGUAGGUUGUUAUUUAAGUUACCUGUGAAAGGCCUGGGCUUAACCUGGGUAUGUCAGGUAAUACUGGAUAACUAGAGUAUGGUAGAGGAUAGUGGAAUUUCCGGAGUAGCGGUGAAAUGCGUAGAUACC